AGGACGAACGCUGGCGGCGUGCUUAACACAUGCAAGUCGAGCGGUAAGGCUCCUUCGGGAGUACACGAGCGGCGAACGGGUGAGUAACACGUGAGCAAUCUGCCCUCCACAUCGGGAUACCCCCCGGAAACGGGAGCUAAUACCGGAUACGACCUCCACGGGCAUCUGCGGAGGUGGAAAGUUUUUCGGCUGAGGAUGGGCCCGCGGCCUAUCAGCUAGUUGGUGGGGUGAUAGCCCACCAAGGCGACGACGGGUA
rnacentral:rRNA from 1 species